UCGGGGAGCAACAUGGCGGCGUCCGUGAGGCGCUAGCUUUGGGGAAAGAGAAAGCUUGGUGUCUCUUUCUUGAGGGAUAUUGACAGGCUGGAGCUGUCCGCGACCUCCCGAUUUAAGGAAGUGGGUACCGAUAGGUGGACAGCUUUCGUUAUCGACCGUUCGCUCUCAUCCCCGCUUAGGAGCAGAGUCCUGAGCACUGACCACCAUGAGCAACAUUUACAUCCAGGAGCCUCCCACGAACGGGAAGGUUUUAUUGAAAACUACAGCUGGAGAUAUUGAUAUAGAGUUGUGGUCAAAAGAAGCUCCUAAAGCCUGCAGAAAUUUCAUUCAGCUAUGUUUGGAAGCAUAUUAUGACAACACCAUAUUUCAUAGAGUUGUACCUGGUUUUAUAGUCCAAGGGGGAGAUCCUACUGGUACAGGGACUGGUGGAGAGUCUAUCUAUGGAGCCCCAUUCAAGGAUGAAUUCCACUCACGGUUGCGUUUUAAUCGGAGAGGUCUGGUUGCCAUGGCAAAUGCUGGUCCUCAUGAUAACGGUAGCCAGUUUUUCUUUACACUGGGUCGAGCAGAUGAACUUAACAAUAAGCACACCAUUUUUGGGAAGGUUACAGGGGAUACAGUAUAUAACAUGCUGCGACUGACAGAAGUAGACAUUGAUGGUGAAGAAAGACCACGUAAUCCACACAAAAUAAAAAGCUGUGAGGUUUUGUUUAAUCCUUUUGAUGACAUCAUUCCAAGAGAAAUAAAAAGGCCAAAAAAAGAGAAACCAGAGGAGGAAGUAAAGAAAUUGAAACCCAAAGGCACAAAAAAUUUUAGUUUACUGUCAUUUGGAGAAGAAGCUGAGGAAGAAGAGGAGGAAGUAAAUCGAGUUAGUCAGAGCAUGAAGGGAAAAAGCAAAAGUAGUCAUGACUUGCUUAAGGACGAUCCACAUCUCAGCUCUGUUCCGGCUGUUGAAAGUGAAAAAGGGGAUGCAGCAGGAGAUUCAGAUGAUGAUGGGGAAUACGAAAGUGCAGAGCAUGAUGAAUAUGUUGAUGGUGAUGAGAAGAACCUGAUGAGAGAAAGAAUUGCAAAGAAGUUAAAAAAGGACACAAGUGCAAAAGUUAAGACAGCUGGAGAGGGUGAAGUGGAGAAGAAAUCAGUUAGCCGCAGUGAAGAGCUCAGAAAAGAAGCAAGACAAUUAAAGCGGGAACUCUUAGCAGCAAAACAAAAGAAAGUAGAAAAUGCAGCAAAACAGGCAGAAAAAAGAAGUGAAGAGGAAGAGGCUGCUCCAGAUGGUGCUGUUGCAGAAUACAGACGAGAAAAGCAGAAGUACGAAGCUUUGAGGAAGCAACAGGCAAAGAAGGGAACUUCCCGGGAAGACCAGACCCUUGUGCUGCUGAACCAGUUUAAAUCUAAACUGACUCAAGCAAUUGCUGAAACUCCUGAAAAUGACAUUUCUGAAACAGAAGUAGAAGAUGAUGAAGGAUGGAUGUCGCAUGUACUUCAGUUUGAGGAUAAAAGCAGAAAAGUGAAAGAUGCAAGCAUGCAAGACUCAGACACGUUUGAAAUCUAUGAUCCUCGGAAUCCAGUGAACAAAAGAAGAAGGGAAGAAAGCAAAAAACUGAUGAGAGAGAAAAAAGAAAGAAGAUAAAAUGAGAGCGACGGCAACCAGAACUAGCUGGAAGUGUGCCUGCCAUCCGGAGGUGAGAAGACAGAAGGACAACCCUUUCUUUUCUGCUUCAGAAGUAGGAUAAAGUUUCAAAGAGGAAGAAGAGAGGGAUAUGAUAAAGGGAUGUUAUCCUGAAGCAGUGAAGUCUGGUAGCCUUCUUAUUCUUUGUCCACGCUGAUGCUGGGCAUUGUGGAGAGCAAAGAGAAAAGCAACUCCUGGCAAUUUUUUUUUCUCAUUUUCUGACAAGACGUUUUUUCGCUUUGGUUGAAGCUGUCGGCAAGGUGAAAGUUACAACUAACUCUCGACCUCUCCUUUCUCAAUAGGUAAUUGAAGAAAUGCAGAUCGCUCUAGAAUUUUUAAUGGUAUAAUAUCAAAACGCACUUUAUCACAUGCCCUCAGCUGUCUGUAUGCUCUGAGGCCACGCAGUCAGUAAUGCAUCUGCUGCAUCUAAAAAUGGGGACACCGUAGAACAAGGUCAUUAAAAAGUGUGAGGAGAUGAGUGUUUCGCUGCUGUUGUUUUUAGAACAAGUUCAAUAAGCUAUGGUGUCCUUAUCAAACUGUCACUACCAAGUCCCUUGAUAGGAUCUGACGUGUGAGGUACAUAAACCUGUGCUGUUGUAUCACUAUGGCCUGAAUGGAAAAGGUUAGAUAAAUGCAGAAUAUUGCCCCAACAUGCUGUUUAAUCUUGGCGAUAACAAGAAAGAAAAUGGAUGUGUGAAGUGAGUUACCAUUGAGAGUUGUAUCAGUAUAAGCAAUUUGUAUGUACGGGGUGUAGAGAAGUUAAGAGGGGUUACAUUCUUUAACACCGUCAUUCACAAAAAAAAAAAAAAAAGAAAAGAAAAAAAAAGGCAGGUCUGGUUUCUCUAUGACUUUGACUCCUUUCCAGUGACUCUAUACACUUUAUCAUGGGGUACCACUUCUGCUUACUAGAAAUCAGGAGAUUUUCCUGUCCCACAUGUAUUUUAUCUCCUUUCUUUUAGCUUUUAAUGAAGAGAGGUGAAAACAGGAGCCAUAUUUUAGAGAAAUCUUUUCUAAUAAGGAUACGAUGAAAUCUGAAUUCCCAGGGAAAUAAAACACCAAAUCUUACUAAGAUGGGUAUUAGAAGUCCCCUGCUUGUAGAAAGAAUACUCAUUUAUUCCCCCAAAUCUUCCCUGACAAAGCCAUACUCGAACAUCUUUCUCACAGGUGCUAAGGGCUGUGCUGAUCCCUGUGCACAGUUGUCAGUGGUGCACUGCUAAAUUGGCUCCCUAAAAACACAGAAAGAAAAGCCAUGAUUUGCAUCAUUUGCUGACUUCUGUGGUGUAAAUACUCUCACCAUGGCUGAUUUCAGGCCACCAAAGGUAGCUCCAGGAUACAACUGGUUCUUUUUCCCAUUCUGUUUCAUUGCUAGCUAUAAACUUAUAUACUAACUCUUGCACUGGCAUAAAGAACUCACAAAGGUUUUUAACCUUUUUCCAAGAUGACAGUCUACAAGAGUAUUUCUCAUUUAUGUGAUUACUUCAGACAAUUUGGUGAAGUUCUAACUGUAGCAACAUCUGCACCCUAUGCUUUUUAUGACUAGUUUGUACCUUUAGAUUUUCUGUUGAGGGAGUUUUCCAAAGUCACUUGGCUCACAUUUAUUUUUCCCUCUGCUCAUCUUUUUGCCUCGAUUUAGUCCAAAUCUCACGGCGGGGGGGGGGGGGGGGGGGGAGGAUGGGUAAGAAAGGAAGAAAAUGUAACUAUAGUUCCUUGAAUUAUUCUGUAAGUGAUAAUGUACAAAUCCAUCAUUUAAUCUUUUUUGGAAGAUAGUCUGGGUUAGGGAUAGAGAAUCCUACCUGGAGAGGAGACUGCUGCUAAGUGAAAUGCAGACAGGAAUCUGGUCUCUCUCUUCCACAUCUGCUGGGGAUUAUUCCUUUAAGAUUAGAUCAUUAUAUUAAUUCAUGUUACUUGAUCAGCAAAAACAUCUUCUGGAGGCUUUCUUCACAGCACCAGUCAAAAAGAAGGUGUUCUUAAAGAAACCAUAAACAAGACAAGAAGACAACCCUCAGAAUGGGAGAAAAUACUUGCCAACAAAGCAACAGACAAAGGAUUAAUCUCCAAACUAUGCAAGCAGCUCAGGCAGCUUAAUUCCAAAAAAGCAAAUAACCCAAUCCACAAAUGGGCAGAAGACCUAAAUAGACAUUUCUCCAAAGAAGACAUACAGAUGGCCAACAAACACAUGAAAAGAUGCUCAACAUCACUAAUCAUUAGAGAAAUGCAAGUCAAAGCCACAAUGAGGUAUCACCUCACACCAGUCAGAAUGGCCAUCAUCAAAACAUCUAGAAACAAUAAAUGCUGGAGAGGGUGUGGAGAAAAGGGAACUCUCCUGCACUGUUGGUGGGAAUGUAAGUUGGUACAGCCACUAUGGAAAACAGUAUGGAGGUUGAUUCAAAAACUAAAAAUGGAACUACCAUAUGAUCCAGUAAUCCCACUACUGGGCAUAUACCCAGAGAAAACCAUAAUCCCCAAAGAAACAUGUACCAUAAUGUUUAUUGCAGCACUAUUUACAAUAGCCAGGACAUGGAAGCAACCUAAAUACCCAAUGACAGGUGAAUGGAUAAAGAAGAUGUGGCACAUAUGUACAAUGGAAUAUUACUCAGCCAUAAAAAAGAAUGAAAUGGAGCUAUAUGUAAUGAGGUGGAUAGACAUAGAGUCUGUCAUACAAAGUGAAGUAAGCCAGAAAGACAAAAACAAAUACUGUAUACUAACUCAUCUAUACGGAAUCAAAAAAAAAAAAAAAAGGGAACUGAUGAACCCAGUGACAGGCCAAAAAUAAGGAUGCAGAUGCAGAGAAUGGACUGGAGGACAUGGGGUUGGGGGGGCAGGGGGCGAAGGGGAAGCUGGGACGAAGUGAGAGAGUAGCAUAGACAUAUAUACACUACUAACUGUAAAAUAGAUAGCUAGUGGGAAGUUGCUGUAUAACAAAGGGAGAUCAACUCAAUGAUGAGUGAUGCCUUAGAGGGCCAGGACAGGGAGGGUGGGAGG